rnacentral:lncRNA from 1 species
UGAGCGCUUGUUACUGCACAAAGUGGGGGUUUCUUGCCUGAUGAGCAUAAGGAGCCAAUUAUGACGGCAUCAGCCUUUGAGAAAAGAAAACAGCUUUAUUGUGAGAUCCAUCAGUAAGGAGACAGGAGGCAUUUGCUCUCAGAUCCAGGGCUUGGAUCCAGGGCUUGGGCACAAUUUAUGGGAUGACAGGCAGGGCGGUCUGAAGCAUGGAGAUGGAUGAUUGGAGUGAGUUACUUGGGAGAUUGAAGAAACAAGAAAAACAUUUAUUUUAAAGCUGAGCGUCACAGGUCGGGCUCCCUGCUUGGAAACUGAAUGAGGCCAGGUGAGGCCAGGUGUCCCUCUAUUUCUUGUUUGCUUGCAUUGAAGGAAACCGGUUGCCAUGCUAUGAGCUGCCCGAUGGAAAGGCCCACAUGGAAGGAACUGAAGUCUUCUGGCUCAAAGUCACUGAGGAACUGAGGCCCUCAGUGCAAAGGCCCUCAAGGUAUUGAGUUCUGCCAACAGUCAUACGAGUAAGACUGGAAGUGGAUCUUCCCCCAGUCAGGCCAUCAGGUGAGACCACAUUCCUGGCUGACACUCUGACUGCAGCCAUGAGACACGUGGAGCCAGAGGCACCUGGCCAAGCUGCAGCUGGAUUCCUGACCCACAGAAGACCCACACAAUAAAUGUUUCUUGUUUUAAGUA